GCUCUAGUAGCUUAAACCUUUAAAGCAUUGUUCUUGUAAACCAAAGCCGGGCCCCCCCCUAGAGCA
rnacentral:tRNA from 1 species